AUUGAACGCUGGCGGCAGGCCUAACACAUGCAAGUCGAGCGGAGCGGCGGACGGGUGAGUAAUGCCUAGGAAUCUGCCUGGUCGUGGGGGAUAACGUCCGGAAACGGGCGCUAAUACCGCAUACUAUCAGAUGAGCCUAGGUCGGAUUAGCUAGUUGGUGGGGUAAAGGCCUACCAAGGCGACAAACCGUAACUGGUAUGAGAGGAUGAUAAGUCAAACUGGAACUGAGGAAGGGUGCAGAGCCCUACGGGAGGCAGUAGUGGGGAAUUUUGGACAAGGGGAGAAAGCCGGCGCCAGACAAUCCGGGUGUGUGAAGAAGGUGUUUGUAUUGUAAAGAAGUUUAAGUUAGGAGUCGUUUCCAACAGAAUAAACACCGGCUAACUGCGUGCCAGCAGCCGCGGUAAUAC
rnacentral:rRNA from 1 species